AGACUCCAUCUCAAAAUAAAUAAAUAAAUAAAACUAAAAGGACAUUGUCCCCUCUUCCUCAGUGCUACCUAUGGAGGUGGCAGCCACCUCCUACUCACAUCAUGGCCACCUUCAGACCCUUCAUGAAGCUCCAGAUUUUCAAAAAGAGGACCAAGACAUUCAUUUAGCACCAGUCAGACUGAUAUGUCAAAAUUAAGUGUAACUGGCAGACACCUAGAGAUAUUGACAACAAGGUUCAUAGAAGGUUCAAGAGCCAGAUCUUGAUGCGCAACAUUGGUUAUGGGAGCAACAAAAAAACAAAGCACAUGCUGCCCAGUAGCUUACAAAAGCUCCUGGUCCACAACAUCAAGGAGCUAGAAGUGCUUACAAUGUUUCUUCCAAGAACCAAAAAGCCAUUGUGGAAAGAGCAACCCAGCUGGCCAUCAGAGUCACCAGUCACAAUGCUAGGCUGUCCAGCAAAGAAAAUAAAUAGACAGCUCAUGUGCACAUUUUAUUUCUGUUUAAAUAAAAACUGAAAAAAAAAAAGAAAGAAAGAAAGAAAAGAAAAGGACAUUGCUACAAGAACCACUAUGAAAUCAUAGGCCCAUGUGCUAAAACAGCCCUGGUAGACAGUUGAGUCCAUCACCUCUCCCAUUUUGCAGAUGGAGACAUUAAGGCCCAGAGAAGGAAAUGGAAUUGCCAAAGGUUCUACAGUGAGUUCAUGGGAGGGGCAAGACUAAUGAGAAAACAAGCAUCUCUUGGGCACUCACUGGGCACUCUGCUUUGCAUACAUGAUCAUAUCCCAUCCUCAACUCUGAGGCCCAGAGACACCGGGAGUUGUGCAGGAUCAUACAGUUAGGAGAUGGCAGAGCUGGAAUUUGAAAGCCUGUCUGAUUUUCCACACAGAUCAUUUGACCACUAACACUCUAGGGCUGCCUAAAACCCAGGGCCCGUCUCCCCACUUCUCUCAGUCCACCCUAUCCCUGCAGUCCUCCAUUAUGUUACAUUGACUCCUAAAGAAAAAAGAUCCAAAUGGACACAGUUCUAGAGGAGUUUCAAAGCACUUCUGUGUCUUCCUGCACAUCAUCUCAGGAGAUGCUGACCCCAGACGCAGGUUGUAGCCUGGGCAGAAAUAGCAGGAACUCUUGGGUUUCCUUUAAGACUUCACUUCACCACUGCAUGCAAGAGCGGAGCGAAGUCAGCAGGUUAAGAAACUCCUGUGGUUAACCAAAAGAAAAGCCAUUGUUAAAAAAAAAAAAGAAACUCCUGUAGUAGGAACGGGGACCCGUGACCUACCAAUAAGGAAGAACAGACAUAUAGAACUUGGCCAGGGAAACUUUAAUCCAGAAGAAAAAAGUGUAUUUUCUCUCCUUAUAUGUUUUAAAUAAAAGAAUGAGAUAAUCUUGGAUUUUAAAAACUCAACUCUGGUGUUUACAUUUUAAUUUAUUCUCAGAAGGCUGGGAGGGUCUAGAGGAAAUCAAAAUGUGAGUCUUAUUUUAUGAUUUGCUAUGGUAAGCCACAUUUAAUCCCUUUCUUCAGUGAAAGGAUUUACGAAGGAUACAACACAAUGUACCUAUCUGUUGCUUUCAUUGUAUUUUUUUUUCCAGAUUUUUAUUUAGUUUAUAAUGUUACAACAAUAAGGGAAAUUAAAAGGAAUGAAAAUUAUCCAUAAUCCUAGCAUCCUAACAAAUGAACUGUUCAGUGUUCCUCUUACUUGCGGGCAAAAUUUACAUAGGUGAUUUAUGAGUGUAGUUAAAGCUUCGUAUUUAUUCAGCUUUCUCACUUGACAGUUUAUCAUUAUAAUGCCACAGGUCUUCAUAAUUAUCAUUUAAAAAUAAAUGUUUUAAUAAUUAUUGUAAUGGCUGCUUAAUACUCUUUUAAGUGGAUAUAUCAUUCCCUAGUAUUAUAUAUUUAGGACUCCAGUUUUUCACUAUCACAGAUAAUCCCAAAGUGCAUGUCUUCAUACAUAUCACAUUCUCCUAUUUUUGUCAUUUCUUUAAAAUCCCCAGAUCUAGAUGUGCUGGGUCAAAGGUCCUGAAUGCUUGCAUGGCUCUUGAUAUAUAUGGGCAGAUCGCUUUGCAAAAGGCUUUUAUACAUUUACUUUGCCUCUGGUAAUGGAUGAGUAGGAUAGUCUCAUACCAUGCUUCUGCCACAACCAAGGGAAAUCUACCAAGAAAUGAAAGAUAACAUGAUAAGCAACGUUUUUAACUUCAUUUUUACAAAUGGCUUGACCUGUUGCAGGCUUUCUAUUCUCGUCUCUGUUGCUGUCAUAAAUUAAGUGCCUAUACCAAGAAUUUGGGAAAGUGGCAAAGCAGUUAUUAUACCAUUUUAUAGCUGAGAAACUCAUUCUCAACUUAGGGUUUUGCCCAAUAGGCUACACAGUGAGUAAGUGGAAGUAAUAUCAUCAGCUGUUGUGAACCAAAGAUGAUGCACUGGUUUCUUACAACCUCCUGGAAUGUCUUCUGGGUUUUGAAGCUGGGAAAGCAUGUUCACAUCAGCAGGGUAUUCUGAUUAAUAUGCAUUUGAAUCUCCAAUUGGAAUAUAGUCUCUACCCUCAGUCUCCUGGAAAAAUGAAGUGUAUUCAUUAUGACUGCU